rnacentral:rRNA from 1 species
GACGUAGGAUGCAAGCGUUGUCCGGAUUUAUUGGGCGUAAAGAGUUCGUAGGCGGUUUGUUAAGUCUGGUGUUAAAGACUGAGGCUCAACCUCGGGAGUGCAUUGGAUACUGGCAGACUGGAGUAUGGUAGAGGUGAGUGGAAUUCCCAGUGUAGCGGUGAAAUGCGUAGAUAUUGGGAAGAACACCGGUGGCGUAAGCGACUCACUGGGCCAUAACUGACGCUGAGGAACGAAAGCCAGGGGAGCGAAUGGG